ACUCCUACGGGAGGCAGCAGUGGGGAAUAUUGCACAAUGGGCGCAAGCCUGAUGCAGCCAUGCCGCGUGUAUGAAGAAGGCCUUCGGGUUGUAAAGUACUUUCAGCAGUGAGGAAGGCGGGUACGUUAAUAGCGUGCUUGUUUGUACGUUAGCUGCAGAAGAAGCACCGGCUAACUCCGUGCCAGCAGCCGCGGUAAUACGGAGGGUGCGAGCGUUAAUCGGAAUUACUGGGCGUAAGCGCAUGCAGGUGGUUUGUUAAGUCAGAUGUGAAAGCCCGGGGCUCAACCUCGGAAUUGCAUUUGAAACUGGCAGACUAGAGUACUGUAGAGGGGGGUAGAAUUUCAGGUGUAGCGGUGAAAUGCGUAGAGAUCUGAAGGAAUACCGGUGGCGAAGGCGGCCCCCUGGACAGAUACUGACACUCAGAUGCGAAAGCGUGGGGAGCAAACAGGAUUAGAUACCCUGGUAGGAUAGCG
rnacentral:rRNA from 1 species